rnacentral:rRNA from 1 species
AGAGUUUGAUCCUGGCUCAGGAUGAACGCUGGCGGCGUGCCUAAUACAUGCAAGUCGAGCGAACCACUUCGGUGGGAAGCGGCGAACGGGUGAGUAACACGUAGGUGAUCUGCCCAUCAGACGGGGACAACGAUUGGAAACGAUCGCUAAUACCGGAUAGGACGAAAGUUUAAAGAUGCUCCUGGCAUCACUGAUGGAUGAGCCUGCGGCGCAUUAGCUAGUUGGUGGGGUAAAGGCCUACCAAGGCGACGAUGCGUAGCCGACCUGAGAGGGUGAACGGCCACACUGGGACUGAGACACGGCCCAGACUCCUACGGGAGGCAGCAGUAGGGAAUCUUCGGCAAUGGGCGAAAGCCUGACCGAGCAACGCCGCGUGAAUGAAGAAGGCCUUCGGGUUGUAAAAUUCUGUUAUAAGGGAAGAAAGGUGAUAGGAGGAAAUGACUAUCAAUUGACGGUACCUUAUGAGAAAGCCACGGCUAACUACGUG